GUCCUGUGACGCCAGGCAGGGCAGAUGGACGGAGGCAGGAGAAUCCAGGAUGUCAUGAAUCUUGAAGGAUUACCUAAAAAGUCCAGUAGGAAGCAACUCCAUGAUAACCAUUCUCAU
rnacentral:lncRNA from 1 species